rnacentral:lncRNA from 1 species
AUAUUUGGUAAUCUAGCUCAGGCGGGGUUGAUUCCACUUACAACGGCAACAUCUCAGGCUAGGGUAGGAGCUCAAACUCCAGCGGCCCGUACCCUAGAGCAGUGAUUCCAUGUUGAGCAGGUCCCAUAGGUUAUACAAGUGCAGCUGGUUGUCCCAGUUCAGGCCGAGGUUAGGGCAUCAACUUCUAAGGAGGAGUAGCUCAGGCUCGAAUGGUACAAAAAAUACCAUCCUCCUUCUUUCAGUGGCCUAGCUACAGAGGACGCACAAGGCUUUCUGGAAAAGUGCCAGUGUAUUCUCCAUAACAUGGGUAUAGUGAAGACGAGCGGGUGUUAUUUCACUUAUUUCUAGCUAUCGGGACUAGCGUACUAGUCUUGGUGGGAUUGGGAGGAGGCUAGCCCAACCGAGGCAGCUUCACUCAUAUGGGCUCAAUUUUUUGAGAUUUAAUUGAGAUUUUGUUCCCCGAAGCCUUUGGGAUACAUGGCGCGAGCAGUUUGAGCAGUUGUGCUAGGGUUCUAUGAUCGUCUCAGAGUAUGUUCUGAAGUUUAGUGAGUUGUCCAGAUAUGCACCUGCCUUGGUUUACACAAUUAGAGAUCGAGUCCGUUGAUUUAUCAAGAGGCUCAACUAUGGUAUUAGAUUCAGCAUGGCUCGAUAUUUGGAGACUGAUACUCCAUACCAGCAGGUGGUAGAAAUCACAUGGAGAUUGGAGGGUUUGCAUGGCCAGGAGACAUGACAGGGAGGCCAAGAGUCCUCGAGAUUCUAGUGGAUAUAGUGGUGUCCACCAGAAAGUUAUAUGUUGUGAUAUUGAUACGCAUGGGGUGGAUUAAGUAUUGGGGUCGAAAUGCAUGUGGUGAGAUAAGGUGGUCUUGAUAUGCAUGUUGGUAGUAGAGGAACUACUUGAAGCCACGUGGUGUGAUAAGGUGGGCUGGGAAUUUCUUCUGGUUGUAAUAUUUGCUUAAAUUUAUUUAUCUCAUCUGUUAAUUCUAUUUCUUUAUUUUUCUCUCUUUGCUUGUUUUCAUAUAGUGCUUUUAACAUGUUUAAUUCUUUUUCUAAUGCUAUAAUUUUUGUGUUUUUUGUUUCUUCUAAUUGUUGUAUUUCCUUGUUUGCUUGAUUUUUAAUAAUUUCAAAGUUUUUAUCAUUUUCUCAGCUAAAUUCUUCCUGAAUGUUAGGCUUACCUACUCUUAGAGACUAGGUUCCAUCACGACAUCCUACAGAGGAUAAUUUGGUCAGUGACAAGUUGGUAUCAAAGCCCUAAGUACAUAGGUUUUACGUGUCAAAAGCAGGAAUAGUAGAAUCUCACGGAUCGGUACAGAAGCUUUUGUAUUUAUCUUCGAGAGGCUAUGGAACUGUUAGGAAACUUCACUUAUUUGAUCCCUUAUCAUGCGAAUUUCUUGACUUUAGAUUUCUAAAUCUAUGUCUUUCUAUUCUCUCAUAGAUGGUGAGGACAUCCACCGCUAGAUCCGACGAUCAGAUAUUGUGCCCCCUGAUAGAGCCAUGAGAGGCCGGGGCUGGGGCCGCGGUCGGGGUCCGGGAGAGGACAAGGAGGGGCAUGUAGUGUAGCCAGAGCAGCUGCACGAGCUACGAUAGAGGAGCCACCGGUAGCUUUAGUUGGGAGGUAGGCACUUGUGGCGCUUGUUGCUACCCCUGCACUUCAAGAGACGCUCGCCUAAUUCUUGAGCAUAUUUGGUAAUCUAGCUCAAGCAGGGUUGAUUCCACUUGCAACGGCAACAUCUCAGGCUAGGGUAGGAGCUCAAACUCCAGCGGCCCAUACCCUAGAGCAGUGAUUCCAUGUUGAGCAGGUCCCAUAGGUUAUACAAGUGCAGCUGGUUAUCCCAGUUCAGGCCGAGGUUAGGGCAUCAACUUCUAAGGAGGAGUAGCUCAGGCUCGAAUAGUACAAAAAAUACCAUCCUCCUUCUUUCAGUUGCCUAGCUACAGAUGACGCACAAGGCUUUCUUGAAAAGUGCCACUGUAUUCUCUAUAACAUGGGUCUAGUGAAGACGAGCGGUGGUUCUUUCACUCCUUUCUAGCUAUCGGGACUAGCGUACUAGUUUUGGUGGGAUUGGGAGGAGGCUAGCCCAACCGAGGCAGCUUCACUCACAUGGGCUCAAUUUUUUGAGAUUUAAUUGAGAUUUUGUUCCCCGGAGCCUUUGGGAUACAUGGCGCGAGCAGUUUGAGCAAUUGUGCCAGGGUUCUAUG